rnacentral:rRNA from 1 species
ACUGAGGUAGAAAGUGGGGGACCUUCGGGCCUCACGCUAUUCGAGCGGCCGACGUCUGAUUAGCUAGUUGGUGGGGUAAAGGCUCACCAAGGCGACGAUCAGUAGCGGGUCUGAGGGGAUGAUCCGCCACACUGGGACUGAGACACGGCCCAGACUCCUACGGGAGGCAGCAGUGGGGAAUUUUGGACAAUGGGCGCAAGCCUGA